AUAUGUCUUUUUGGUGGCCUUUUCAAUGUGCGAUUGUGCAUAGAGCUUGUUUGCUAAUGCCUAGUUUUAUUGAGUUGUCUAGAUUGCAUCAAGAUUCAUGCUAAUUAGAAGCUGCGUCCUCUUGGCUUAUGGCUAAUGCUCCCUUAUUUUUGCUUUUCUAUUUAAUUUCAUAUGUUCCAGAUAAUAAUGGGACAAAGCAUGUUAUGCCUGGUUGAAUCGAUGACCUUGCAGGAAAGGUCCCACAAAAGCUUUCCUUGUAAGCACUUAUAGUAAUUUUUUAGCACUUGUUAAUUAUUGGUUUGUUUUUAUGUGUAUUUCCUUUAUAUAAUUUAUUUAAAUAUUUAAUUUGAUGAUUUAUCUCAGUUCAUGAGGGUAAAACUAAAUGGUUUAGAUAUUUGAGGUGAUUACAGCUAUAUAAUAUGCUUACUGGACCUUUUAAUGAUAUAAAGGCUCACUACACAUCUUUUUUGAUCCUGCAGCUCCUGAUUUGGCCUAAGGCUCAUGACUGAAACUGGGCUUUUCAGCAAAGAUAUGAAAGAACUACUACAAGAGAAGGUUUUUGUCACCGUGGUCUUAGGUUAUAUCUCCUACAACUUUGUCAUUGGUGCUUAUUCUUACUGCACUAG